rnacentral:misc_RNA from 1 species
UAAACGAGACGUGGCACAGAAUGCUCCUCACUUCUACGCACAUGAGCAAAACAAUACAAGCACCACAAAUGUAACUCGGGAAAACUGAGCCACCACGCGUGGGUGAUGAGCAACCGUACGGAGCAAUCGUUAGAUAGUAAGUCUGAGCUGGUGCGCGUGCUGACCACGUGCGGCGGCAUCCCUUGUUAAUAGCGAGCAGUCCACCCGCAUCCCCGCAAGCUGCUCGUCUACACCGGGGGAGAGAAAGAGGGAGCGGGCGGUGCCGUCUGUGUGUGCCCGGUACUGUGCAAGCGCUCAUUUUCAAGCCGCACGCGGGCCUGUUGCUGGUGCCCCUGCGGUCGGGUGAUGCGCGAGAGCGUGCUCGUGCGUGCGUGGCCAAGCAGCGUCGCUAUGCGUCUCCGUCUCACCUCGGUGCGGAGCAACGGUACGAAACACGUGCGAGACACGGCUGCUUUCUCUGUGUGGUGCGCGUGUGCGGGAGGUGGGUUUGGGCGGCGCGUGCGCAUGUGAUGACGUACGCUUUGGAAUUGACUGCCGACCUGCGCGGAGCGCCUCGCGCGCGUCGCGUGCUGUGCGGACAACGUGCAUUGGUGUGCAUAUCCUCUACUGUUACUCAAAAUAAAACUUCUGAGGCGCACGCGCGGCCGUGCCGGCACGGCCACCAGUACACCACCCUCACGCGCACAGCCUGCGAAGGGAGGAGAGAGAGAGAGACGGCGCCCCGGCAGCUGCCCGUCCCCACUGCUACUGCUGCUGCGCGCGCGCCUGUGCGCCACGCUGAUGAUCUCUCUAUUCGCAUCGCGACACGCUGACACACACGACCUGAGUGACACGCGAACGGAACCAACAAUCGAGAAAGAACAGCUGAGUGUGCGCGGCGUGUGCGCGCUCGGGCGGGGAAGGGGGAAGCCCGGAAGCGAGCGACUGGAAGCGCGGCGGGGAGCAAGUCUGGUCGGUGUGAUGAGUCUGCUAAGAUGUACGCAACAUUUACAAUUGGAAGACGAGUCUGAACACUGAUGCACGCACUGAUAAACGGCACUGACGCGACCGUGCUUGUCUCCCACCGCCCGUGUGCGCGGCCAGGACGCAGAUGCUCCGUGGACGGAACGUGGCAGGCUGCGGAGGGCACACUCAUCCCUCAUACGCGGUUCAACACAUGAUCCCAGAGCUUGCGGGCGGCGGCGGCGCUGCGUGCGUCCCGCGCGGCCCCGGAAAAGAGGGGGGAGGGGGGCAGAGCUGUCCCGAUCUGGAGCUGUGCGCCACCGCACCACCGCUGAUGACAAUCCUUCACCACAAAUGUAACUCGGGAAAACUGAGCCACCACGCGUGGGUGAUGAGCAACCGUACGGAGCAAUCGUUAGAUAGUAAGUCUGAGCUGGUGCGCGUGCUGACCACGUGCGGCGGCAUCCCUUGUUAAUAGCGAGCAGUCCACCCGCAUCCCCGCAAGCUGCUCGUCUACACCGGGGGAGAGAAAGAGGGAGCGGGCGGUGCCGUCUGUGUGUGCCCGGUACUGUGCAAGCGCUCAUUUUCAAGCCGCACGCGGGCCUGUUGCUGGUGCCCCUGCGGUCGGGUGAUGCGCGAGAGCGUGCUCGUGCGUGCGUGGCCAAGCAGUGUCGCUAUGCGUCUCCGUCUCACCUCGGUGCGGAGCAACGGUACGAAACACGUGCGAGACACGGCUGCUUUCUCUGUGUGGUGCGCGUGUGCGGGAGGUGGGUUUGGGCGGCGCGUGCGCAUGUGAUGACGUACGCUUUGGAAUUGACUGCCGACCUGCGCGGAGCGCCUCGCGCGCGUCGCGUGCUGUGCGGACAACGUGCAUUGGUGUGCAUAUCCUCUACUGUUACUCAAAAUAAAACUUCUGAGGCGCACGCGCGGCCGUGCCGGCACGGCCACCAGUACACCACCCUCACGCGCACAGCCUGCGAAGGGAGGAGAGAGAGAGAGACGGCGCCCCGGCAGCUGCCCGUCCCCACUGCUACUGCUGCUGCGCGCGCGCCUGUGCGCCACGCUGAUGAUCUCUCUAUUCGCAUCGCGACACGCUGACACACACGACCUGAGUGACACGCGAACGGAACCAACAAUCGAGAAAGAACAGCUGAGUGUGCGCGCUCGGGCGGGGAAGGGGGAAGCCCGGAAGCGAGCGACUGGAAGCGCGGCGGGGAGCAAGUCUGGUCGGUGUGAUGAGUCUGCUAAGAUGUACGCAACAUUUACAAUUGGAAGACGAGUCUGAACACUGAUGCACGCACUGAUAAACGGCACUGACGCGACCGUGCUUGUCUCCCACCGCCCGUGUGCGCGGCCAGGACGCAGAUGCUCCGUGGACGGAACGUGGCAGGCUGCGGAGGGCACACUCAUCCCUCAUACGCGGUUCAACACAUGAUCCCAGAGCUUGCGGGCGGCGGCGGCGCUGCGUGCGUCCCGCGCGGCCCCGGAAAAGAGGGGGGAGGGGGGCAGAGCUGUCCCGAUCUGGAGCUGUGCGCCACCGCACCACCGCUGAUGACAAUCCUUCACCACAAAUGUAACUCGGGAAAACUGAGCCACCACGCGUGGGUGAUGAGCAACCGUACGGAGCAAUCGUUAGAUAGUAAGUCUGAGCUGGUGCGCGUGCUGACCACGUGCGGCGGCAUCCCUUGUUAAUAGCGAGCAGUCCACCCGCAUCCCCGCAAGCUGCUCGUCUACACCGGGGGAGAGAAAGAGGGAGCGGGCGGUGCCGUCUGUGUGUGCCCGGUACUGUGCAAGCGCUCAUUUUCAAGCCGCACGCGGGCCUGUUGCUGGUGCCCCUGCGGUCGGGUGAUGCGCGAGAGCGUGCUCGUGCGUGCGUGGCCAAGCAGUGUCGCUAUGCGUCUCCGUCUCACCUCGGUGCGGAGCAACGGUACGAAACACGUGCGAGACACGGCUGCUUUCUCUGUGUGGUGCGCGUGUGCGGGAGGUGGGUUUGGGCGGCGCGUGCGCAUGUGAUGACGUACGCUUUGGAAUUGACUGCCGACCUGCGCGGAGCGCCUCGCGCGCGUCGCGUGCUGUGCGGACAACGUGCAUUGGUGUGCAUAUCCUCUACUGUUACUCAAAAUAAAACUUCUGAGGCGCACGCGCGGCCGUGCCGGCACGGCCACCAGUACACCACCCUCACGCGCACAGCCUGCGAAGGGAGGAGAGAGAGAGAGACGGCGCCCCGGCAGCUGCCCGUCCCCACUGCUACUGCUGCUGCGCGCGCGCCUGUGCGCCACGCUGAUGAUCUCUCUAUUCGCAUCGCGACACGCUGACACACACGACCUGAGUGACACGCGAACGGAACCAACAAUCGAGAAAGAACAGCUGAGUGUGCGCGCUCGGGCGGGGAAGGGGGAAGCCCGGAAGCGAGCGACUGGAAGCGCGGCGGGGAGCAAGUCUGGUCGGUGUGAUGAGUCUGCUAAGAUGUACGCAACAUUUACAAUUGGAAGACGAGUCUGAACACUGAUGCACGCACUGAUAAACGGCACUGACGCGACCGUGCUUGUCUCCCACCGCCCGUGUGCGCGGCCAGGACGCAGAUGCUCCGUGGACGGAACGUGGCAGGCUGCGGAGGGCACACUCAUCCCUCAUACGCGGUUCAACACAUGAUCCCAGAGCUUGCGGGCGGCGGCGGCGCUGCGUGCGUCCCGCGCGGCCCCGGAAAAGAGGGGGAGGGGGGCAGAGCUGUCCCGAUCUGGAGCUGUGCGCCACCGCACCACCGCUGAUGACAAUCCUUCACCACAAAUGUAACUCGGGAAAACUGAGCCACCACGCGUGGGUGAUGAGCAACCGUACGGAGCAAUCGUUAGAUAGUAAGUCUGAGCUGGUGCGCGUGCUGACCACGUGCGGCGGCAUCCCUUGUUAAUAGCGAGCAGUCCACCCGCAUCCCCGCAAGCUGCUCGUCUACACCGGGGGAGAGAAAGAGGGAGCGGGCGGUGCCGUCUGUGUGUGCCCGGUACUGUGCAAGCGCUCAUUUUCAAGCCGCACGCGGGCCUGUUGCUGGUGCCCCUGCGGUCGGGUGAUGCGCGAGAGCGUGCUCGUGCGUGCGUGGCCAAGCAGUGUCGCUAUGCGUCUCCGUCUCACCUCGGUGCGGAGCAACGGUACGAAACACGUGCGAGACACGGCUGCUUUCUCUGUGUGGUGCGCGUGUGCGGGAGGUGGGUUUGGGCGGCGCGUGCGCAUGUGAUGACGUACGCUUUGGAAUUGACUGCCGACCUGCGCGGAGCGCCUCGCGCGCGUCGCGUGCUGUGCGGACAACGUGCAUUGGUGUGCAUAUCCUCUACUGUUACUCAAAAUAAAACUUCUGAGGCGCACGCGCGGCCGUGCCGGCACGGCCACCAGUACACCACCCUCACGCGCACAGCCUGCGAAGGGAGGAGAGAGAGAGAGACGGCGCCCCGGCAGCUGCCCGUCCCCACUGCUACUGCUGCUGCGCGCGCGCCUGUGCGCCACGCUGAUGAUCUCUCUAUUCGCAUCGCGACACGCUGACACACACGACCUGAGUGACACGCGAACGGAACCAACAAUCGAGAAAGAACAGCUGAGUGUGCGCGGCGUGUGCGCGCUCGGGCGGGGAAGGGGGAAGCCCGGAAGCGAGCGACUGGAAGCGCGGCGGGGAGCAAGUCUGGUCGGUGUGAUGAGUCUGCUAAGAUGUACGCAACAUUUACAAUUGGAAGACGAGUCUGAACACUGAUGCACGCACUGAUAAACGGCACUGACGCGACCGUGCUUGUCUCCCACCGCCCGUGUGCGCGGCCAGGACGCAGAUGCUCCGUGGACGGAACGUGGCAGGCUGCGGAGGGCACACUCAUCCCUCAUACGCGGUUCAACACAUGAUCCCAGAGCUUGCGGGCGGCGGCGGCGCUGCGUGCGUCCCGCGCGGCCCCGGAAAAGAGGGGGGAGGGGGGCAGAGCUGUCCCGAUCUGGAGCUGUGCGCCACCGCACCACCGCUGAUGACAAUCCUUCACCACAAAUGUAACUCGGGAAAACUGAGCCACCACGCGUGGGUGAUGAGCAACCGUACGGAGCAAUCGUUAGAUAGUAAGUCUGAGCUGGUGCGCGUGCUGACCACGUGCGGCGGCAUCCCUUGUUAAUAGCGAGCAGUCCACCCGCAUCCCCGCAAGCUGCUCGUCUACACCGGGGGAGAGAAAGAGGGAGCGGGCGGUGCCGUCUGUGUGUGCCCGGUACUGUGCAAGCGCUCAUUUUCAAGCCGCACGCGGGCCUGUUGCUGGUGCCCCUGCGGUCGGGUGAUGCGCGAGAGCGUGCUCGUGCGUGCGUGGCCAAGCAGUGUCGCUAUGCGUCUCCGUCUCACCUCGGUGCGGAGCAACGGUACGAAACACGUGCGAGACACGGCUGCUUUCUCUGUGUGGUGCGCGUGUGCGGGAGGUGGGUUUGGGCGGCGCGUGCGCAUGUGAUGACGUACGCUUUGGAAUUGACUGCCGACCUGCGCGGAGCGCCUCGCGCGCGUCGCGUGCUGUGCGGACAACGUGCAUUGGUGUGCAUAUCCUCUACUGUUACUCAAAAUAAAACUUCUGAGGCGCACGCGCGGCCGUGCCGGCACGGCCACCAGUACACCACCCUCACGCGCACAGCCUGCGAAGGGAGGAGAGAGAGAGAGACGGCGCCCCGGCAGCUGCCCGUCCCCACUGCUACUGCUGCUGCGCGCGCGCCUGUGCGCCACGCUGAUGAUCUCUCUAUUCGCAUCGCGACACGCUGACACACACGACCUGAGUGACACGCGAACGGAACCAACAAUCGAGAAAGAACAGCUGAGUGUGCGCGCUCGGGCGGGGAAGGGGGAAGCCCGGAAGCGAGCGACUGGAAGCGCGGCGGGGAGCAAGUCUGGUCGGUGUGAUGAGUCUGCUAAGAUGUACGCAACAUUUACAAUUGGAAGACGAGUCUGAACACUGAUGCACGCACUGAUAAACGGCACUGACGCGACCGUGCUUGUCUCCCACCGCCCGUGUGCGCGGCCAGGACGCAGAUGCUCCGUGGACGGAACGUGGCAGGCUGCGGAGGGCACACUCAUCCCUCAUACGCGGUUCAACACAUGAUCCCAGAGCUUGCGGGCGGCGGCGGCGCUGCGUGCGUCCCGCGCGGCCCCGGAAAAGAGGGGGGAGGGGGGCAGAGCUGUCCCGAUCUGGAGCUGUGCGCCACCGCACCACCGCUGAUGACAAUCCUUCACCACAAAUGUAACUCGGGAAAACUGAGCCACCACGCGUGGGUGAUGAGCAACCGUACGGAGCAAUCGUUAGAUAGUAAGUCUGAGCUGGUGCGCGUGCUGACCACGUGCGGCGGCAUCCCUUGUUAAUAGCGAGCAGUCCACCCGCAUCCCCGCAAGCUGCUCGUCUACACCGGGGGAGAGAAAGAGGGAGCGGGCGGUGCCGUCUGUGUGUGCCCGGUACUGUGCAAGCGCUCAUUUUCAAGCCGCACGCGGGCCUGUUGCUGGUGCCCCUGCGGUCGGGUGAUGCGCGAGAGCGUGCUCGUGCGUGCGUGGCCAAGCAGUGUCGCUAUGCGUCUCCGUCUCACCUCGGUGCGGAGCAACGGUACGAAACACGUGCGAGACACGGCUGCUUUCUCUGUGUGGUGCGCGUGUGCGGGAGGUGGGUUUGGGCGGCGCGUGCGCAUGUGAUGACGUACGCUUUGGAAUUGACUGCCGACCUGCGCGGAGCGCCUCGCGCGCGUCGCGUGCUGUGCGGACAACGUGCAUUGGUGUGCAUAUCCUCUACUGUUACUCAAAAUAAAACUUCUGAGGCGCACGCGCGGCCGUGCCGGCACGGCCACCAGUACACCACCCUCACGCGCACAGCCUGCGAAGGGAGGAGAGAGAGAGAGACGGCGCCCCGGCAGCUGCCCGUCCCCACUGCUACUGCUGCUGCGCGCGCGCCUGUGCGCCACGCUGAUGAUCUCUCUAUUCGCAUCGCGACACGCUGACACACACGACCUGAGUGACACGCGAACGGAACCAACAAUCGAGAAAGAACAGCUGAGUGUGCGCGGCGUGUGCGCGCUCGGGCGGGGAAGGGGGAAGCCCGGAAGCGAGCGACUGGAAGCGCGGCGGGGAGCAAGUCUGGUCGGUGUGAUGAGUCUGCUAAGAUGUACGCAACAUUUACAAUUGGAAGACGAGUCUGAACACUGAUGCACGCACUGAUAAACGGCACUGACGCGACCGUGCUUGUCUCCCACCGCCCGUGUGCGCGGCCAGGACGCAGAUGCUCCGUGGACGGAACGUGGCAGGCUGCGGAGGGCACACUCAUCCCUCAUACGCGGUUCAACACAUGAUCCCAGAGCUUGCGGGCGGCGGCGGCGCUGCGUGCGUCCCGCGCGGCCCCGGAAAAGAGGGGGGAGGGGGGCAGAGCUGUCCCGAUCUGGAGCUGUGCGCCACCGCACCACCGCUGAUGACAAUCCUUCACCACAAAUGUAACUCGGGAAAACUGAGCCACCACGCGUGGGUGAUGAGCAACCGUACGGAGCAAUCGUUAGAUAGUAAGUCUGAGCUGGUGCGCGUGCUGACCACGUGCGGCGGCAUCCCUUGUUAAUAGCGAGCAGUCCACCCGCAUCCCCGCAAGCUGCUCGUCUACACCGGGGGAGAGAAAGAGGGAGCGGGCGGUGCCGUCUGUGUGUGCCCGGUACUGUGCAAGCGCUCAUUUUCAAGCCGCACGCGGGCCUGUUGCUGGUGCCCCUGCGGUCGGGUGAUGCGCGAGAGCGUGCUCGUGCGUGCGUGGCCAAGCAGUGUCGCUAUGCGUCUCCGUCUCACCUCGGUGCGGAGCAACGGUACGAAACACGUGCGAGACACGGCUGCUUUCUCUGUGUGGUGCGCGUGUGCGGGAGGUGGGUUUGGGCGGCGCGUGCGCAUGUGAUGACGUACGCUUUGGAAUUGACUGCCGACCUGCGCGGAGCGCCUCGCGCGCGUCGCGUGCUGUGCGGACAACGUGCAUUGGUGUGCAUAUCCUCUACUGUUACUCAAAAUAAAACUUCUGAGGCGCACGCGCGGCCGUGCCGGCACGGCCACCAGUACACCACCCUCACGCGCACAGCCUGCGAAGGGAGGAGAGAGAGAGAGACGGCGCCCCGGCAGCUGCCCGUCCCCACUGCUACUGCUGCUGCGCGCGCGCCUGUGCGCCACGCUGAUGAUCUCUCUAUUCGCAUCGCGACACGCUGACACACACGACCUGAGUGACACGCGAACGGAACCAACAAUCGAGAAAGAACAGCUGAGUGUGCGGCGUGUGCGCGCUCGGGCGGGGAAGGGGGAAGCCCGGAAGCGAGCGACUGGAAGCGCGGCGGGGAGCAAGUCUGGUCGGUGUGAUGAGUCUGCUAAGAUGUACGCAACAUUUACAAUUGGAAGACGAGUCUGAACACUGAUGCACGCACUGAUAAACGGCACUGACGCGACCGUGCUUGUCUCCCACCGCCCGUGUGCGCGGCCAGGACGCAGAUGCUCCGUGGACGGAACGUGGCAGGCUGCGGAGGGCACACUCAUCCCUCAUACGCGGUUCAACACAUGAUCCCAGAGCUUGCGGGCGGCGGCGGCGCUGCGUGCGUCCCGCGCGGCCCCGGAAAAGAGGGGGGAGGGGGGCAGAGCUGUCCCGAUCUGGAGCUGUGCGCCACCGCACCACCGCUGAUGACAAUCCUUCACCACAAAUGUAACUCGGGAAAACUGAGCCACCACGCGUGGGUGAUGAGCAACCGUACGGAGCAAUCGUUAGAUAGUAAGUCUGAGCUGGUGCGCGUGCUGACCACGUGCGGCGGCAUCCCUUGUUAAUAGCGAGCAGUCCACCCGCAUCCCCGCAAGCUGCUCGUCUACACCGGGGGAGAGAAAGAGGGAGCGGGCGGUGCCGUCUGUGUGUGCCCGGUACUGUGCAAGCGCUCAUUUUCAAGCCGCACGCGGGCCUGUUGCUGGUGCCCCUGCGGUCGGGUGAUGCGCGAGAGCGUGCUCGUGCGUGCGUGGCCAAGCAGUGUCGCUAUGCGUCUCCGUCUCACCUCGGUGCGGAGCAACGGUACGAAACACGUGCGAGACACGGCUGCUUUCUCUGUGUGGUGCGCGUGUGCGGGAGGUGGGUUUGGGCGGCGCGUGCGCAUGUGAUGACGUACGCUUUGGAAUUGACUGCCGACCUGCGCGGAGCGCCUCGCGCGCGUCGCGUGCUGUGCGGACAACGUGCAUUGGUGUGCAUAUCCUCUACUGUUACUCAAAAUAAAACUUCUGAGGCGCACGCGCGGCCGUGCCGGCACGGCCACCAGUACACCACCCUCACGCGCACAGCCUGCGAAGGGAGGAGAGAGAGAGAGACGGCGCCCCGGCAGCUGCCCGUCCCCACUGCUACUGCUGCUGCGCGCGCGCCUGUGCGCCACGCUGAUGAUCUCUCUAUUCGCAUCGCGACACGCUGACACACACGACCUGAGUGACACGCGAACGGAACCAACAAUCGAGAAAGAACAGCUGAGUGUGCGCGCUCGGGCGGGGAAGGGGGAAGCCCGGAAGCGAGCGACUGGAAGCGCGGCGGGGAGCAAGUCUGGUCGGUGUGAUGAGUCUGCUAAGAUGUACGCAACAUUUACAAUUGGAAGACGAGUCUGAACACUGAUGCACGCACUGAUAAACGGCACUGACGCGACCGUGCUUGUCUCCCACCGCCCGUGUGCGCGGCCAGGACGCAGAUGCUCCGUGGACGGAACGUGGCAGGCUGCGGAGGGCACACUCAUCCCUCAUACGCGGUUCAACACAUGAUCCCAGAGCUUGCGGGCGGCGGCGGCGCUGCGUGCGUCCCGCGCGGCCCCGGAAAAGAGGGGGGAGGGGGGCAGAGCUGUCCCGAUCUGGAGCUGUGCGCCACCGCACCACCGCUGAUGACAAUCCUUCACCACAAAUGUAACUCGGGAAAACUGAGCCACCACGCGUGGGUGAUGAGCAACCGUACGGAGCAAUCGUUAGAUAGUAAGUCUGAGCUGGUGCGCGUGCUGACCACGUGCGGCGGCAUCCCUUGUUAAUAGCGAGCAGUCCACCCGCAUCCCCGCAAGCUGCUCGUCUACACCGGGGGAGAGAAAGAGGGAGCGGGCGGUGCCGUCUGUGUGUGCCCGGUACUGUGCAAGCGCUCAUUUUCAAGCCGCACGCGGGCCUGUUGCUGGUGCCCCUGCGGUCGGGUGAUGCGCGAGAGCGUGCUCGUGCGUGCGUGGCCAAGCAGUGUCGCUAUGCGUCUCCGUCUCACCUCGGUGCGGAGCAACGGUACGAAACACGUGCGAGACACGGCUGCUUUCUCUGUGUGGUGCGCGUGUGCGGGAGGUGGGUUUGGGCGGCGCGUGCGCAUGUGAUGACGUACGCUUUGGAAUUGACUGCCGACCUGCGCGGAGCGCCUCGCGCGCGUCGCGUGCUGUGCGGACAACGUGCAUUGGUGUGCAUAUCCUCUACUGUUACUCAAAAUAAAACUUCUGAGGCGCACGCGCGGCCGUGCCGGCACGGCCACCAGUACACCACCCUCACGCGCACAGCCUGCGAAGGGAGGAGAGAGAGAGAGACGGCGCCCCGGCAGCUGCCCGUCCCCACUGCUACUGCUGCUGCGCGCGCGCCUGUGCGCCACGCUGAUGAUCUCUCUAUUCGCAUCGCGACACGCUGACACACACGACCUGAGUGACACGCGAACGGAACCAACAAUCGAGAAAGAACAGCUGAGUGUGCGCGGCGUGUGCGCGCUCGGGCGGGGAAGGGGGAAGCCCGGAAGCGAGCGACUGGAAGCGUGGCGGGGAGCAAGUCUGGUCGGUGUGAUGAGUCUGCUAAGAUGUACGCAACAUUUACAAUUGGAAGACGAGUCUGAACACUGAUGCACGCACUGAUAAACGGCACUGACGCGACCGUGCUUGUCUCCCACCGCCCGUGUGCGCGGCCAGGACGCAGAUGCUCCGUGGACGGAACGUGGCAGGCUGCGGAGGGCACACUCAUCCCUCAUACGCGGUUCAACACAUGAUCCCAGAGCUUGCGGGCGGCGGCGGCGCUGCGUGCGUCCCGCGCGGCCCCGGAAAAGAGGGGGAGGGGGGCAGAGCUGUCCCGAUCUGGAGCUGUGCGCCACCGCACCACCGCUGAUGACAAUCCUUCACCACAAAUGUAACUCGGGAAAACUGAGCCACCACGCGUGGGUGAUGAGCAACCGUACGGAGCAAUCGUUAGAUAGUAAGUCUGAGCUGGUGCGCGUGCUGACCACGUGCGGCGGCAUCCCUUGUUAAUAGCGAGCAGUCCACCCGCAUCCCCGCAAGCUGCUCGUCUACACCGGGGGAGAGAAAGAGGGAGCGGGCGGUGCCGUCUGUGUGUGCCCGGUACUGUGCAAGCGCUCAUUUUCAAGCCGCACGCGGGCCUGUUGCUGGUGCCCCUGCGGUCGGGUGAUGCGCGAGAGCGUGCUCGUGCGUGCGUGGCCAAGCAGUGUCGCUAUGCGUCUCCGUCUCACCUCGGUGCGGAGCAACGGUACGAAACACGUGCGAGACACGGCUGCUUUCUCUGUGUGGUGCGCGUGUGCGGGAGGUGGGUUUGGGCGGCGCGUGCGCAUGUGAUGACGUACGCUUUGGAAUUGACUGCCGACCUGCGCGGAGCGCCUCGCGCGCGUCGCGUGCUGUGCGGACAACGUGCAUUGGUGUGCAUAUCCUCUACUGUUACUCAAAAUAAAACUUCUGAGGCGCACGCGCGGCCGUGCCGGCACGGCCACCAGUACACCACCCUCACGCGCACAGCCUGCGAAGGGAGGAGAGAGAGAGAGACGGCGCCCCGGCAGCUGCCCGUCCCCACUGCUACUGCUGCUGCGCGCGCGCCUGUGCGCCACGCUGAUGAUCUCUCUAUUCGCAUCGCGACACGCUGACACACACGACCUGAGUGACACGCGAACGGAACCAACAAUCGAGAAAGAACAGCUGAGUGUGCGCGCUCGGGCGGGGAAGGGGGAAGCCCGGAAGCGAGCGACUGGAAGCGCGGCGGGGAGCAAGUCUGGUCGGUGUGAUGAGUCUGCUAAGAUGUACGCAACAUUUACAAUUGGAAGACGAGUCUGAACACUGAUGCACGCACUGAUAAACGGCACUGACGCGACCGUGCUUGUCUCCCACCGCCCGUGUGCGCGGCCAGGACGCAGAUGCUCCGUGGACGGAACGUGGCAGGCUGCGGAGGGCACACUCAUCCCUCAUACGCGGUUCAACACAUGAUCCCAGAGCUUGCGGGCGGCGGCGGCGCUGCGUGCGUCCCGCGCGGCCCCGGAAAAGAGGGGGGAGGGGGGCAGAGCUGUCCCGAUCUGGAGCUGUGCGCCACCGCACCACCGCUGAUGACAAUCCUUCACCACAAAUGUAACUCGGGAAAACUGAGCCACCACGCGUGGGUGAUGAGCAACCGUACGGAGCAAUCGUUAGAUAGUAAGUCUGAGCUGGUGCGCGUGCUGACCACGUGCGGCGGCAUCCCUUGUUAAUAGCGAGCAGUCCACCCGCAUCCCCGCAAGCUGCUCGUCUACACCGGGGGAGAGAAAGAGGGAGCGGGCGGUGCCGUCUGUGUGUGCCCGGUACUGUGCAAGCGCUCAUUUUCAAGCCGCACGCGGGCCUGUUGCUGGUGCCCCUGCGGUCGGGUGAUGCGCGAGAGCGUGCUCGUGCGUGCGUGGCCAAGCAGCGUCGCUAUGCGUCUCCGUCUCACCUCGGUGCGGAGCAACGGUACGAAACACGUGCGAGACACGGCUGCUUUCUCUGUGUGGUGCGCGUGUGCGGGAGGUGGGUUUGGGCGGCGCGUGCGCAUGUGAUGACGUACGCUUUGGAAUUGACUGCCGACCUGCGCGGAGCGCCUCGCGCGCGUCGCGUGCUGUGCGGACAACGUGCAUUGGUGUGCAUAUCCUCUACUGUUACUCAAAAUAAAACUUCUGAGGCGCACGCGCGGCCGUGCCGGCACGGCCACCAGUACACCACCCUCACGCGCACAGCCUGCGAAGGGAGGAGAGAGAGAGAGACGGCGCCCCGGCAGCUGCCCGUCCCCACUGCUACUGCUGCUGCGCGCGCGCCUGUGCGCCACGCUGAUGAUCUCUCUAUUCGCAUCGCGACACGCUGACACACACGACCUGAGUGACACGCGAACGGAACCAACAAUCGAGAAAGAACAGCUGAGUGUGCGCGGCGUGUGCGCGCUCGGGCGGGGAAGGGGGAAGCCCGGAAGCGAGCGACUGGAAGCGUGGCGGGGAGCAAGUCUGGUCGGUGUGAUGAGUCUGCUAAGAUGUACGCAACAUUUACAAUUGGAAGACGAGUCUGAACACUGAUGCACGCACUGAUAAACGGCACUGACGCGACCGUGCUUGUCUCCCACCGCCCGUGUGCGCGGCCAGGACGCAGAUGCUCCGUGGACGGAACGUGGCAGGCUGCGGAGGGCACACUCAUCCCUCAUACGCGGUUCAACACAUGAUCCCAGAGCUUGCGGGCGGCGGCGGCGCUGCGUGCGUCCCGCGCGGCCCCGGAAAAGAGGGGGGAGGGGGGCAGAGCUGUCCCGAUCUGGAGCUGUGCGCCACCGCACCACCGCUGAUGACAAUCCUUCACCACAAAUGUAACUCGGGAAAACUGAGCCACCACGCGUGGGUGAUGAGCAACCGUACGGAGCAAUCGUUAGAUAGUAAGUCUGAGCUGGUGCGCGUGCUGACCACGUGCGGCGGCAUCCCUUGUUAAUAGCGAGCAGUCCACCCGCAUCCCCGCAAGCUGCUCGUCUACACCGGGGGAGAGAAAGAGGGAGCGGGCGGUGCCGUCUGUGUGUGCCCGGUACUGUGCAAGCGCUCAUUUUCAAGCCGCACGCGGGCCUGUUGCUGGUGCCCCUGCGGUCGGGUGAUGCGCGAGAGCGUGCUCGUGCGUGCGUGGCCAAGCAGUGUCGCUAUGCGUCUCCGUCUCACCUCGGUGCGGAGCAACGGUACGAAACACGUGCGAGACACGGCUGCUUUCUCUGUGUGGUGCGCGUGUGCGGGAGGUGGGUUUGGGCGGCGCGUGCGCAUGUGAUGACGUACGCUUUGGAAUUGACUGCCGACCUGCGCGGAGCGCCUCGCGCGCGUCGCGUGCUGUGCGGACAACGUGCAUUGGUGUGCAUAUCCUCUACUGUUACUCAAAAUAAAACUUCUGAGGCGCACGCGCGGCCGUGCCGGCACGGCCACCAGUACACCACCCUCACGCGCACAGCCUGCGAAGGGAGGAGAGAGAGAGAGACGGCGCCCCGGCAGCUGCCCGUCCCCACUGCUACUGCUGCUGCGCGCGCGCCUGUGCGCCACGCUGAUGAUCUCUCUAUUCGCAUCGCGACACGCUGACACACACGACCUGAGUGACACGCGAACGGAACCAACAAUCGAGAAAGAACAGCUGAGUGUGCGCGCUCGGGCGGGGAAGGGGGAAGCCCGGAAGCGAGCGACUGGAAGCGCGGCGGGGAGCAAGUCUGGUCGGUGUGAUGAGUCUGCUAAGAUGUACGCAACAUUUACAAUUGGAAGACGAGUCUGAACACUGAUGCACGCACUGAUAAACGGCACUGACGCGACCGUGCUUGUCUCCCACCGCCCGUGUGCGCGGCCAGGACGCAGAUGCUCCGUGGACGGAACGUGGCAGGCUGCGGAGGGCACACUCAUCCCUCAUACGCGGUUCAACACAUGAUCCCAGAGCUUGCGGGCGGCGGCGGCGCUGCGUGCGUCCCGCGCGGCCCCGGAAAAGAGGGGGGAGGGGGGCAGAGCUGUCCCGAUCUGGAGCUGUGCGCCACCGCACCACCGCUGAUGACAAUCCUUCACCACAAAUGUAACUCGGGAAAACUGAGCCACCACGCGUGGGUGAUGAGCAACCGUACGGAGCAAUCGUUAGAUAGUAAGUCUGAGCUGGUGCGCGUGCUGACCACGUGCGGCGGCAUCCCUUGUUAAUAGCGAGCAGUCCACCCGCAUCCCCGCAAGCUGCUCGUCUACACCGGGGGAGAGAAAGAGGGAGCGGGCGGUGCCGUCUGUGUGUGCCCGGUACUGUGCAAGCGCUCAUUUUCAAGCCGCACGCGGGCCUGUUGCUGGUGCCCCUGCGGUCGGGUGAUGCGCGAGAGCGUGCUCGUGCGUGCGUGGCCAAGCAGCGUCGCUAUGCGUCUCCGUCUCACCUCGGUGCGGAGCAACGGUACGAAACACGUGCGAGACACGGCUGCUUUCUCUGUGUGGUGCGCGUGUGCGGGAGGUGGGUUUGGGCGGCGCGUGCGCAUGUGAUGACGUACGCUUUGGAAUUGACUGCCGACCUGCGCGGAGCGCCUCGCGCGCGUCGCGUGCUGUGCGGACAACGUGCAUUGGUGUGCAUAUCCUCUACUGUUACUCAAAAUAAAACUUCUGAGGCGCACGCGCGGCCGUGCCGGCACGGCCACCAGUACACCACCCUCACGCGCACAGCCUGCGAAGGGAGGAGAGAGAGAGAGACGGCGCCCCGGCAGCUGCCCGUCCCCACUGCUACUGCUGCUGCGCGCGCGCCUGUGCGCCACGCUGAUGAUCUCUCUAUUCGCAUCGCGACACGCUGACACACACGACCUGAGUGACACGCGAACGGAACUAACAAUCGAGAAAGAACAGCUGAGUGUGCGCGGCGUGUGCGCGCUCGGGCGGGGAAGGGGGAAGCCCGGAAGCGAGCGACUGGAAGCGCGGCGGGGAGCAAGUCUGGUCGGUGUGAUGAGUCUGCUAAGAUGUACGCAACAUUUACAAUUGGAAGACGAGUCUGAACACUGAUGCACGCACUGAUAAACGGCACUGACGCGACCGUGCUUGUCUCCCACCGCCCGUGUGCGCGGCCAGGACGCAGAUGCUCCGUGGACGGAACGUGGCAGGCUGCGGAGGGCACACUCAUCCCUCAUACGCGGUUCAACACAUGAUCCCAGAGCUUGCGGGCGGCGGCGGCGCUGCGUGCGUCCCGCGCGGCCCCGGAAAAGAGGGGGGAGGGGGCAGAGCUGUCCCGAUCUGGAGCUGUGCGCCACCGCACCACCGCUGAUGACAAUCCUUCACCACAAAUGUAACUCGGGAAAACUGAGCCACCACGCGUGGGUGAUGAGCAACCGUACGGAGCAAUCGUUAGAUAGUAAGUCUGAGCUGGUGCGCGUGCUGACCACGUGCGGCGGCAUCCCUUGUUAAUAGCGAGCAGUCCACCCGCAUCCCCGCAAGCUGCUCGUCUACACCGGGGGAGAGAAAGAGGGAGCGGGCGGUGCCGUCUGUGUGUGCCCGGUACUGUGCAAGCGCUCAUUUUCAAGCCGCACGCGGGCCUGUUGCUGGUGCCCCUGCGGUCGGGUGAUGCGCGAGAGCGUGCUCGUGCGUGCGUGGCCAAGCAGUGUCGCUAUGCGUCUCCGUCUCACCUCGGUGCGGAGCAACGGUACGAAACACGUGCGAGACACGGCUGCUUUCUCUGUGUGGUGCGCGUGUGCGGGAGGUGGGUUUGGGCGGCGCGUGCGCAUGUGAUGACGUACGCUUUGGAAUUGACUGCCGACCUGCGCGGAGCGCCUCGCGCGCGUCGCGUGCUGUGCGGACAACGUGCAUUGGUGUGCAUAUCCUCUACUGUUACUCAAAAUAAAACUUCUGAGGCGCACGCGCGGCCGUGCCGGCACGGCCACCAGUACACCACCCUCACGCGCACAGCCUGCGAAGGGAGGAGAGAGAGAGAGACGGCGCCCCGGCAGCUGCCCGUCCCCACUGCUACUGCUGCUGCGCGCGCGCCUGUGCGCCACGCUGAUGAUCUCUCUAUUCGCAUCGCGACACGCUGACACACACGACCUGAGUGACACGCGAACGGAACCAACAAUCGAGAAAGAACAGCUGAGUGUGCGCGGCGUGUGCGCGCUCGGGCGGGGAAGGGGGAAGCCCGGAAGCGAGCGACUGGAAGCGCGGCGGGGAGCAAGUCUGGUCGGUGUGAUGAGUCUGCUAAGAUGUACGCAACAUUUACAAUUGGAAGACGAGUCUGAACACUGAUGCACGCACUGAUAAACGGCACUGACGCGACCGUGCUUGUCUCCCACCGCCCGUGUGCGCGGCCAGGACGCAGAUGCUCCGUGGACGGAACGUGGCAGGCUGCGGAGGGCACACUCAUCCCUCAUACGCGGUUCAACACAUGAUCCCAGAGCUUGCGGGCGGCGGCGGCGCUGCGUGCGUCCCGCGCGGCCCCGGAAAAGAGGGGGGAGGGGGCAGAGCUGUCCCGAUCUGGAGCUGUGCGCCACCGCACCACCGCUGAUGACAAUCCUUCACCACAAAUGUAACUCGGGAAAACUGAGCCACCACGCGUGGGUGAUGAGCAACCGUACGGAGCAAUCGUUAGAUAGUAAGUCUGAGCUGGUGCGCGUGCUGACCACGUGCGGCGGCAUCCCUUGUUAAUAGCGAGCAGUCCACCCGCAUCCCCGCAAGCUGCUCGUCUACACCGGGGGAGAGAAAGAGGGAGCGGGCGGUGCCGUCUGUGUGUGCCCGGUACUGUGCAAGCGCUCAUUUUCAAGCCGCACGCGGGCCUGUUGCUGGUGCCCCUGCGGUCGGGUGAUGCGCGAGAGCGUGCUCGUGCGUGCGUGGCCAAGCAGUGUCGCUAUGCGUCUCCGUCUCACCUCGGUGCGGAGCAACGGUACGAAACACGUGCGAGACACGGCUGCUUUCUCUGUGUGGUGCGCGUGUGCGGGAGGUGGGUUUGGGCGGCGCGUGCGCAUGUGAUGACGUACGCUUUGGAAUUGACUGCCGACCUGCGCGGAGCGCCUCGCGCGCGUCGCGUGCUGUGCGGACAACGUGCAUUGGUGUGCAUAUCCUCUACUGUUACUCAAAAUAAAACUUCUGAGGCGCACGCGCGGCCGUGCCGGCACGGCCACCAGUACACCACCCUCACGCGCACAGCCUGCGAAGGGAGGAGAGAGAGAGAGACGGCGCCCCGGCAGCUGCCCGUCCCCACUGCUACUGCUGCUGCGCGCGCGCCUGUGCGCCACGCUGAUGAUCUCUCUAUUCGCAUCGCGACACGCUGACACACACGACCUGAGUGACACGCGAACGGAACCAACAAUCGAGAAAGAACAGCUGAGUGUGCGCGGCGUGUGCGCGCUCGGGCGGGGAAGGGGGAAGCCCGGAAGCGAGCGACUGGAAGCGCGGCGGGGAGCAAGUCUGGUCGGUGUGAUGAGUCUGCUAAGAUGUACGCAACAUUUACAAUUGGAAGACGAGUCUGAACACUGAUGCACGCACUGAUAAACGGCACUGACGCGACCGUGCUUGUCUCCCACCGCCCGUGUGCGCGGCCAGGACGCAGAUGCUCCGUGGACGGAACGUGGCAGGCUGCGGAGGGCACACUCAUCCCUCAUACGCGGUUCAACACAUGAUCCCAGAGCUUGCGGGCGGCGGCGGCGCUGCGUGCGUCCCGCGCGGCCCCGGAAAAGAGGGGGGAGGGGGCAGAGCUGUCCCGAUCUGGAGCUGUGCGCCACCGCACCACCGCUGAUGACAAUCCUUCACCACAAAUGUAACUCGGGAAAACUGAGCCACCACGCGUGGGUGAUGAGCAACCGUACGGAGCAAUCGUUAGAUAGUAAGUCUGAGCUGGUGCGCGUGCUGACCACGUGCGGCGGCAUCCCUUGUUAAUAGCGAGCAGUCCACCCGCAUCCCCGCAAGCUGCUCGUCUACACCGGGGGAGAGAAAGAGGGAGCGGGCGGUGCCGUCUGUGUGUGCCCGGUACUGUGCAAGCGCUCAUUUUCAAGCCGCACGCGGGCCUGUUGCUGGUGCCCCUGCGGUCGGGUGAUGCGCGAGAGCGUGCUCGUGCGUGCGUGGCCAAGCAGUGUCGCUAUGCGUCUCCGUCUCACCUCGGUGCGGAGCAACGGUACGAAACACGUGCGAGACACGGCUGCUUUCUCUGUGUGGUGCGCGUGUGCGGGAGGUGGGUUUGGGCGGCGCGUGCGCAUGUGAUGACGUACGCUUUGGAAUUGACUGCCGACCUGCGCGGAGCGCCUCGCGCGCGUCGCGUGCUGUGCGGACAACGUGCAUUGGUGUGCAUAUCCUCUACUGUUACUCAAAAUAAAACUUCUGAGGCGCACGCGCGGCCGUGCCGGCACGGCCACCAGUACACCACCCUCACGCGCACAGCCUGCGAAGGGAGGAGAGAGAGAGAGACGGCGCCCCGGCAGCUGCCCGUCCCCACUGCUACUGCUGCUGCGCGCGCGCCUGUGCGCCACGCUGAUGAUCUCUCUAUUCGCAUCGCGACACGCUGACACACACGACCUGAGUGACACGCGAACGGAACCAACAAUCGAGAAAGAACAGCUGAGUGUGCGCGCUCGGGCGGGGAAGGGGGAAGCCCGGAAGCGAGCGACUGGAAGCGCGGCGGGGAGCAAGUCUGGUCGGUGUGAUGAGUCUGCUAAGAUGUACGCAACAUUUACAAUUGGAAGACGAGUCUGAACACUGAUGCACGCACUGAUAAACGGCACUGACGCGGCCAUGCCGGUUCCUUAGAGAUCACUGUAUUAGUUUUGAUGAAAUGGUUCUCGUUUGUUGUUGUUGAGCGGUCGUUUUCGGGGUCUGUGCGUGCGUGGUUUUUUGGGUAGCUGUGGUUGUAGUUUUUGGUUCGUUUGGCAAGGGCUAAUCGGGUGUCUGUAAAGCUGCGAGGAAAGUCUCUGUCGAAGGGAAGUGCGCCGUUUCUACCAUCCUGGUCACGGGAGACUGAUGGUUUGCUCUUCGAGGCGUUGCCGCAUCUUUUUUUCAUUGGCGCCAUGGGGCCUAUUAAAAAAAAAAAGAAAAGAGGCAGGAAAGAUGGAGGAGAGAAAUUCGUGCAACAGCAGCAUGGAGGUAUGUGUGUGUGUGUGUACUCCCGGUACGCGGUACUCGUGGCAGGAGGUGUCAGUGUGCUGCUUGGUGUGUGCAGUUGCGCUGCCGUUCGUUACCCUCUGGCGUCUCUAGCGCGCCAUGCAAAAAGGAUGGCAACAUGCGAUCUUCUACUGAGCCAUGCGCACCUGAGUCUGUGGCACCGCGUGUCGGAUGUGUCGCGCGCGCGGCUACUCUUGCACGUGAUUUUUGCUUUCUCGCUUUUCCUUCCACUAGCCACCCCUUCUAUAUGAUUGCCCCUUCCUCCUGCUACUGCUUCGGCGUAACGCGCUUUCAAUACACGUACCAACACACGCGCGUACGCACUCAUGCUGUCUCGAAUCUGUCAUUCGGCUGCCGUAAAUGGGGCCCUCCCCCAACGCCUCUCUUCGUACGCCAAAAAAUGCUCCUUUGCAAUCUUCCGACGAAAACGAUGGCACCCCGUUUUUUGCUCAUCACUGCGAAAACUCAACGCACGCCAG